rnacentral:rRNA from 1 species
CUUGGUCAUUUAGAGGAGUAAAAGUCGUAACAAGGUUUCCGUAGGUGAACCUGCGGAAGGAUCAUUAUCGAAAUUAUUGGUGAGGGUUGUAGCUGGCCUUUCGAGGCAUGUGCACGCUCGAGCCCUUAAUCCACUUUACACCUGUGCACUUAAUGUAGGUCGCCCUUAAAAAAGGUGACCUAUGUCUUAUCAUCAACCCAUCGUAUGUCUCAUAGAAUGUAAUCGAUAUCCUCGCCCUAAAAAAGCGUUGAUAAACUUAUACAACUUUCAACAACGGAUCUCUUGGCUCUCGCAUCGAUGAAGAACGCAGCGAAAUGCGAUAAGUAAUGUGAAUUGCAGAUUUUCAGUGAAUCAUCGAAUCUUUGAACGCACCUUGCGCUCCUUGGUAUUCCGAGGAGCAUGCCUGUUUGAGUGUCAUUAAAUUCUCAACUCCAAGGGUUUCACGACCUUUCGGAGAUUGGACUUGGAGGUGCUGGCCGCAUAUUGGUCGGCUCCUCUCAAAUGCAUCAGCGGAAUUCAACCUUUGGCUUCCGGAUGUCAGUGUGAUAAUCAUGUUGCGCUGUCGUUUGAUCCCUCAGAGUCCGCUUAUAAUGGUCUUCGGACAAAAUCAUCAUCAAAUUUGACCUCAAAUCAGGUAGGACUACCCGCUGAACUUAAGCAUAUCAAUAAGCGGAGA